rnacentral:rRNA from 1 species
GUGAGGAAUAUUGGUCAAUGGGCGCGAGCCUGAACCAGCCAAGUAGCGUGCAGGAAGACGGCCCUAUGGGUUGUAAACUGCUUUUGCAGGAGGAUAAUAUGUCCCACGUGUGGGAUAUUGCAGGUAUCCUGCGAAUAAGGACCGGCUAAUUCCGUGCCAGCAGCCGCGGUAAUACGGAAGGUCCGGGCGUUAUCCGGAUUUAUUGGGUUUAAAGGGAGCGUAGGCGGGAGAUCAAGUCAGUUGUGAAAAGCAGCCGCUCAACGGUUGUCGUGCAGUUGAUACUGGUUUUCUUGAGUGCGCGCGAGGAUGGUGGAAUUUGUGGUGUAGCGGUGAAAUGCUUAGAUAUCACAAAGAACUCCGAUUGCGAAGGCAGCUGUCCGGAGCGCAACUGACGCUGAGGCUCGAAGGUGCGGGUAUCAAACAGGAUUAGAAACCCCAGUAGUCC